rnacentral:lncRNA from 1 species
UGCAAAUUUUCCAAUUAGACAUCAGUUUCAGAGAUCACUCUAAUUGAGAAGGCACCAAAACCCGUUUAAUUUAUCAGCCAUGUAAUUGUGAUGCAGAAGAAUCAAACACAUUAAAAUUACAGUAGAGAAAGAUUAUUGUUCCGAGGUUAAUGUAAUAAGAAGUGACCAAAACCCAUUAAAAUUGCAGGAGAUUAUUGUAGUAGAGAAGGAUCAAACCCAUUAAAUUGUAAUGGAAAGAUUAUAGUAAUUACCAGAGGUUAAUGUAAUAAGAAGUGACCAAAACCCAUUAAAAUUGCAGGAGAUUAUUGUAGUAGAGAAGGAUCAAACCCACUAAAUUGUAAUGGAAAGAUUAU